GACGAACGCUGGCGGCGUGUUCAACACAUGCAAGCCGAACGGAAAGGCCUCGUUUUUGUGGGGUGCUCGAGUGGCGAACGGGUGAGUAACACGUGAGUAACCUGUCCUUGAUUUUGGGAUAACUCCACGACACUGGGGCUAAUACCGGCUAGGAGUACCUGCUGCAUGGCGGGGGUUGGAAAGUUUCGGCGGUUGGGGAUGGACCCGCCGCUUAUCAGCUUGUUGGUGGGGUAGUGGCUUACCACGGCUUUGACGGGUAGCCGGCCUGAGAGGGUGACCGGCCACAUGGGGACUGAGGUACGGCCCAGACUCCUACGGGAGGCAGCAGUGGGGAAUAUUGCACAAUGGGCGGAAGCCUGAUGCAGCGACGCCGCGUGCGGGAUGACGGCCUUCGGGUUGUAAACCGCUUUCGCCUGUGACGAAGCGUGAGUGACGGUAAUGGGUAAAGAAGCGCCGGCUAACUACGUG
rnacentral:rRNA from 1 species